rnacentral:rRNA from 1 species
UACGGAGGAUCCAAGCGUUAUCCGGAUUUAUUGGGUUUAAAGGGUGCGUAGGCGGCCUAUUAAGUCAGGGGUGAAAGACGGUAGCUCAACUAUCGCAGUGCCCUUGAUACUGAUGGGCUAGAACGUACUAGAGGCAGGCGGAAUGUGACAAGUAGCGGUGAAAUGCAUAGAUAUGUCACAGAACACCAAUUGCGAAGGCAGCUUGCUAUGGUAUAAUUGACGCUGAGGCACGAAAGCGUGGGGAUCAAACAGG